AUUGAACGCUAGCGGGAUGCCUUACACAUGCAAGUCGAACGGCAGCACGGACUUCGGUCUGGUGGCGAGUGGCGAACGGGUGAGUAAUGUAUCGGAACGUGCCCAGUAGCGGGGGAUAACUACUCGAAAGAGUAGCUAAUACCGCAUACGCCCUACGGGGGAAAGGGGGGGAUCGCAAGACCUCUCACUAUUGGAGCGGCCGAUAUCGGAUUAGCUAGUUGGUGGGGUAAAGGCCCACCAAGGCGACGAUCCGUAGCUGGUUUGAGAGGACGACAAGCCACACGGGGACUGAGACAAGGCCCAGACUCCUACGGGAGGCAGCAGUGGGGAAUUUUGGACAAUGGGGGCAACCCUGAUCCAGCCAUCCCGCGUGUGCGAUGAAGGCCUUCGGGUUGUAAAGCACUUUUGGCAGGAAAGAAAUCGCAUGGGUUAAUACCCUGUGUGGAUGACGGUACCUGCAGAAUAAGCACCGGCUAACUACGUGCCAGCAGCCGCCGUAA
rnacentral:rRNA from 1 species